rnacentral:rRNA from 1 species
UACGAAGGGUGCAAACGUUGCUCGGAAUUAUUGGGCGUAAAGCGCACGUAGGCGGCCUUGCAAGUCGGAUGUGAAAUCCCUCGGCUCAACCGAGGACGUGCAUCCGAAACUGCAGGGCUUGAGUACAGAAGAGGAUCGCGGAAUUCCCGGUGUAGAGGUGAAAUUCGUAGAUAUCGGGAGGAACACCAGUGGCGAAGGCGGCGAUCUGGGCUGAUACUGACGCUGAGGUGCGAAAGCGUGGGGAGCAAACAGG